rnacentral:rRNA from 1 species
GGUUAAGCGACUAAGCGUACACGGUGGAUGCCCUGGCAGUCAGAGGCGAUGAAGGACGUGCUAAUCUGCGAUAAGCGUCGGUAAGGUGAUAUGAACCGUUAUAACCGGCGAUUUCCGAAUGGGGAAACCCAGUGUGUUUCGACACACUAUCAUUAACUGAAUCCAUAGGUUAAUGAGGCGAACCGGGGGAACUGAAACAUCUAAGUACCCCGAGGAAAAGAAAUCAACCGAGAUUCCCCCAGUAGCGGCGAGCGAACGGGGAGCAGCCCAGAGCCUGAAUCAGUGUGUGUGUUAGUGGAAGCGUCUGGAAAGGCGCGCGAUACAGGGUGACAGCCCCGUACACAAAAAUGCACAUGCUGUGAGCUCGAUGAGUAGGGCGGGACACGUGGUAUCCUGUCUGAAUAUGGGGGGACCAUCCUCCAAGGCUAAAUACUCCUGACUGACCGAUAGUGAACCAGUACCGUGAGGGAAAGGCGAAAAGAACCCCGGCGAGGGGAGUGAAAAAGAACCUGAAACCGUGUACGUACAAGCAGUGGGAGCACGCUUAGGCGUGUGACUGCGUACCUUUUGUAUAAUGGGUCAGCGACUUAUAUUCUGUAGCAAGGUUAACCGAAUAGGGGAGCCGAAGGGAAACCGAGUCUUAACUGGGCGUUAAGUUGCAGGGUAUAGACCCGAAACCCGGUGAUCUAGCCAUGGGCAGGUUGAAGGUUGGGUAACACUAACUGGAGGACCGAACCGACUAAUGUUGAAAAAUUAGCGGAUGACUUGUGGCUGGGGGUGAAAGGCCAAUCAAACCGGGAGAUAGCUGGUUCUCCCCGAAAGCUAUUUAGGUAGCGCCUCGUGAAUUCAUCUCCGGGGGUAGAGCACUGUUUCGGCAAGGGGGUCAUCCCGACUUACCAACCCGAUGCAAACUGCGAAUACCGGAGAAUGUUAUCACGGGAGACACACGGCGGGUGCUAACGUCCGUCGUGAAGAGGGAAACAACCCAGACCGCCAGCUAAGGUCCCAAAGUCAUGGUUAAGUGGGAAACGAUGUGGGAAGGCCCAGACAGCCAGGAUGUUGGCUUAGAAGCAGCCAUCAUUUAAAGAAAGCGUAAUAGCUCACUGGUCGAGUCGGCCUGCGCGGAAGAUGUAACGGGGCUAAACCAUGCACCGAAGCUGCGGCAGCGACACUAUGUGUUGUUGGGUAGGGGAGCGUUCUGUAAGCCUGUGAAGGUGUGCUGUGAGGCAUGCUGGAGGUAUCAGAAGUGCGAAUGCUGACAUAAGUAACGAUAAAGCGGGUGAAAAGCCCGCUCGCCGGAAGACCAAGGGUUCCUGUCCAACGUUAAUCGGGGCAGGGUGAGUCGACCCCUAAGGCGAGGCCGAAAGGCGUAGUCGAUGGGAAACAGGUUAAUAUUCCUGUACUUGGUGUUACUGCGAAGGGGGGACGGAGAAGGCUAUGUUGGCCGGGCGACGGUUGUCCCGGUUUAAGCGUGUAGGCUGGUUUUCCAGGCAAAUCCGGAAAAUCAAGGCUGAGGCGUGAUGACGAGGCACUACGGUGCUGAAGCAACAAAUGCCCUGCUUCCAGGAAAAGCCUCUAAGCAUCAGGUAACAUCAAAUCGUACCCCAAACCGACACAGGUGGUCAGGUAGAGAAUACCAAGGCGCUUGAGAGAACUCGGGUGAAGGAACUAGGCAAAAUGGUGCCGUAACUUCGGGAGAAGGCACGCUGAUAUGUAGGUGAAGUCCCUCGCGGAUGGAGCUGAAAUCAGUCGAAGAUACCAGCUGGCUGCAACUGUUUAUUAAAAACACAGCACUGUGCAAACACGAAAGUGGACGUAUACGGUGUGACGCCUGCCCGGUGCCGGAAGGUUAAUUGAUGGGGUUAGCGCAAGCGAAGCUCUUGAUCGAAGCCCCGGUAAACGGCGGCCGUAACUAUAACGGUCCUAAGGUAGCGAAAUUCCUUGUCGGGUAAGUUCCGACCUGCACGAAUGGCGUAAUGAUGGCCAGGCUGUCUCCACCCGAGACUCAGUGAAAUUGAACUCGCUGUGAAGAUGCAGUGUACCCGCGGCAAGACGGAAAGACCCCGUGAACCUUUACUAUAGCUUGACACUGAACAUUGAGCCUUGAUGUGUAGGAUAGGUGGGAGGCUUUGAAGUGUGGACGCCAGUCUGCAUGGAGCCGACCUUGAAAUACCACCCUUUAAUGUUUGAUGUUCUAACGUUGACCCGUAAUCCGGGUUGCGGACAGUGUCUGGUGGGUAGUUUGACUGGGGCGGUCUCCUCCUAAAGAGUAACGGAGGAGCACGAAGGUUGGCUAAUCCUGGUCGGACAUCAGGAGGUUAGUGCAAUGGCAUAAGCCAGCUUGACUGCGAGCGUGACGGCGCGAGCAGGUGCGAAAGCAGGUCAUAGUGAUCCGGUGGUUCUGAAUGGAAGGGCCAUCGCUCAACGGAUAAAAGGUACUCCGGGGAUAACAGGCUGAUACCGCCCAAGAGUUCAUAUCGACGGCGGUGUUUGGCACCUCGAUGUCGGCUCAUCACAUCCUGGGGCUGAAGUAGGUCCCAAGGGUAUGGCUGUUCGCCAUUUAAAGUGGUACGCGAGCUGGGUUUAGAACGUCGUGAGACAGUUCGGUCCCUAUCUGCCGUGGGCGCUGGAGAAUUGAGGGGGGCUGCUCCUAGUACGAGAGGACCGGAGUGGACGCAUCACUGGUGUUCGGGUUGUCAUGCCAAUGGCACUGCCCGGUAGCUAAAUGCGGAAGAGAUAAGUGCUGAAAGCAUCUAAGCACGAAACUUGCCCCGAGAUGAGUUCUCCCUGACUCCUUGAGAGUCCUGAAGGAACGUUGAAGACGACGACGUUGAUAGGCCGGGUGUGUAAGCGCAGCGAUGCGUUGAGCUAACCGGUACUAAUGAACCGUGAGGCUUAACCUU